rnacentral:SRP_RNA from 1 species
GGGUGGGUCCGGCGCGGCGGAGCCUUCCGAACCGUGUCAGGUCCGAGAGGAAGCAGCACUAAGGGAGUAUCUCCGGGUGCCGCCGGGUUGCCUGCCCAAC